rnacentral:rRNA from 1 species
GAGUUUGAUCGUGGCUCAGGAUGAACGCUGGCGGCGUGCUUAACACAUGCAAGUCGAACGGAGUAGGUAGCAAUACUUACUCAGUGGCGGACGGGUGAGUAACGCGUGAACAAUCUGCCUAUGUCAGGGGGAAUAACACUAAGAAAUUGGUGCUAAUACCGCAUAAGACCACAGAGGGGCAUCCCUCAGGGGUAAAGAUUUAUCGGACAUAGAUGAGUUCGCGUCCCAUUAGGUAGUUGGUGAGGUAACGGCCCACCAAGCCGACGAUGGGUAGCCGACCUGAGAGGGUGAUCGGCCACAUUGGAACUGAGAGACGGUCCAGACUCCUACGGGAGGCAGCA